rfam:Triticum aestivum genome assembly, contig: Triticum_aestivum_CS42_TGACv1_scaffold_167567_2DL
AAAGUACUCCAUCCGUCCCAAAAUUCUUGUCUUAGAUUUGUCUAGAUACGGAUGUAUCAAGUCACAUUUUAGUAUUAGAUACAUCCGUAUCUAGACAAAUCUAAGAAAAGUAAUUUGGGACAGAGGGAGUAGUUG